CGCCGCGGAAGGUAAACACGGCGUGCGCGCGGCCACGUGAGUCCCGCGCCGGGCACCGGGAACCGGGCACCAGGCACCGUCGCGCCUCCCGCUCCGCCUUCGGCCUGCCGAGCGAGCUCUGAAAUGCAUGAAACUCCUUUAUACUGGGCACCAUUUUGGAGAGUUGGUAAUUUUCUAAGGCAUGUUUUCCACGCCAUCUGCGCAAAGUUGGGACACUGGGGCUCUCCUGGCCUGCAUGUGCCAGCAGUGCUCAGAGACAGAGCUGCACCCCGUGGUGUGGGGCCCGGGAUUGGCGUCCAGGCCGCCCACACUACCUCCCGGCCCCGAGGCCAGUGCCCCUGACAUUCGGGCAUGUGGAGCACGUUCCGGUCCUCACUAAGUUUCCUGGAUCUUCUCUGUCUGUCUGCGGUGCCUGUCUGGUGUUUCUCCGCCUGCCCCGCCUGCCCCAGCCUCCAGCUCACCCCGGCACCCGGCUUCCUGCAAUGCCCGCCCUCCACACCGGGGCGGCCUCUGGGUGCACAUGUCCUUCUGCUCUGCCACCACGUUUCCCGAUGCUGCUUCUGCCGCCCAGGUCUCUCCAGACGGCACAGCGAGGGGAGCCUUCUCUGGGCUGCCUUUGGCGGCUGUGCUGAAUCAGCACUCCCGGUUUCGUUCGUCUUGGGUUGUCACGAGCCUAUUGGCUGCGGACCUGGGGCCUGUCCCCAGCUCACGGGCGCCCCCUGCCCCCCGGGGGCCGCCACUGCGCCUGCUCCCCCCACCCUGUGCCUGCAAUGCUUCCUAUGGGGCCUCCCCGUCCAGGCAACUUCCUGAUGGCCUCUGCCCCUCUUCUCUGCACCCCAGCAUCCUGGGGAUGGUUUCUCCCCCUCCCACCUGGCCCGCUGCUUCCUGCCAUCUCUGGGGCUGCCAGGGAUAGAAGCUGCUGGGAGACACCGCCCUGGGCUCCCGCAUCUUCCCAGCCUGACCCGUGGUGCCCCAGGCUAGGCCCCGCAGCCCGCUGGCCACCUUAGCUGCUGUGAGUGCCCCUGUGCAGCACAGCGCGGGGACACACACACGUUCACGAAUAAGCACAUACGCGCGUACACACAGCCUCUCUCCGCCACAGCUUAGGCGCGCGCACACACACCCAUAAAUCCAGAUGGGGUGGGGGUGCCCUCGGGAGUCACCAGGACAGCCUGCCUCUUCUUAACAUUUAUUUUUUAAUUUUUAAAAAUUUAAUUAAAGUCUUAAAAUUUCAUGUUAAAAUGUUUCAGUUUGGUGCC